rnacentral:rRNA from 1 species
UACGUAGGGUGCAAGCGUUAAUCGGAAUUACUGGGCGUAAAGCGUGCGCAGGCGGUCUUGCAAGCCAGAUGUGAAAUCCCCGGGCUCAACCUGGGAACUGCAUUUGUGACUGCAAGGCUGGAGUGCGGCAGAGGGGGAUGGAAUUCCGCGUGUAGCAGUGAAAUGCGUAGAUAUGCGGAGGAACACCGAUGGCGAAGGCAAUCCCCUGGGCCUGCACUGACGCUCAUGCACGAAAGCGUGGGGAGCAAACAGG